GAUGAAGAAGCAGCGAAAUGCGAUAAGUAAUGUGAAUUGCAGAAUUCAGUGAAUCAUCGAAUCUUUGAACGCACCUUGCGCUCCUUGGUAUUCCGAGGAGCAUGCCUGUUUGAGUGUCAUGAAAUUCUCAACCUUUCUGGCUUUUGCUAGUCAGGCUUGGAUUAUGGGAGCUGCUGGCUUUUGAAGUCGGCUCUUCUAAAAUGUAUUAGCAAGAUCAUUGCUGCUCAUCAUUGGUAUGAUAAUUAUCUAUAUCAUUGAGAGUCAGUUUCCUUUAUUGGAAGAUUUUGCUCCUAACGGUCUUUAGCAAGACAACAUUUGACGAUUUUGACCUCAAAUCAGGUAGGACUACCCGCUGAACUUAAGCAUAUCAAUAAGCGGAGGA
rnacentral:misc_RNA from 1 species